rnacentral:rRNA from 1 species
GAUGAACGCUAGCGGCAGGCUUAAUACAUGCAAGUCGAGGGGCAGCAGUCCCGCAGCAAUGCGGGAGCUGGCGACCGGCAAACGGGCGCGGAACACGUACAGAACCUUCCUUCGAGCGGGGAAUAGCCCAGAGAAAUUUGGAUUAAUACCCCAUAGCAUUACGAAGUGGCAUCACUUUGUAAUUAAAGAUUUAUCACUCGAAGAUGGCUGUGCGGCUGAUAGGUAGUUGGCGGAGUAACGGCCCACCAAGCCUUCGAUCAGUAACUGGUGUGAGAGCACGACCAGUCACACGGGCACUGAGACACGGGCCCGACUCCUACGGGAGGCAGCAGUAAGGAAUAUUGGUCAAUGGACGAAGUCUGAACCAGCCAUGCCGCGUGGAGGAUGAAGGUCCUCUGGAUUGUAAACUUCUUUUAUAUGGGACGAAAAAGGCUUUUCUAAGUCGUCUGACGGUACCAUAUGAAUAAGCACCGGCUAACUCCGUGCC